rnacentral:rRNA from 1 species
UACGGGGGGGGCGAGCGUUGUUCGGAAUUACUGGGCGUAAAGGGUUUGUAGGUGGUCUGCUAAGUCAGACGUGAAAUCCCUCAGCUUAACUGGGGAACUGCGUCUGAUACUGGCGGACUUGAGGACAGGAGAGGAACGCGGAAUUCCAGGUGUAGCGGUGAAAUGCGUAGAUAUCUGGAGGAACACCGGUGGCGAAGGCGGCGUUCUGGACUGUUUCUGACACUGAAAAACGAAAGCCAGGGGAGCAAACGGG